rnacentral:rRNA from 1 species
GUGGGACUACCCGCUGAACUUAAGCAUAUCAAAAGCGGAGGAA